ACGGCUCAGUAACACGUAGUCAACCUAACCUAUGGACGGGAAUAACCUCGGGAAACUGAGAAUAAUGCCCGAUAGAACACUAUACCUGGAAUGGUUUGUGUUCCAAAUGAUUUAUCGCCAUAGGAUGGGACUGCGGCCUAUCAGUUUGUUGGUGAGGUAAUGGCCCACCAAGACUAUUACAGGUACGGGCUCUGAGAGGAGUAGCCCGGAGAUGGGUACUGAGACACGGACCCAGGCCCUAUGGGGCGCAGCAGGCGAGAAAACUUUGCAAUGUGCGAAAGCACGACAAGGUUAAUCCGAGUGAUUUGUGCUAAACGAAUCUUUUGUUAGUCCUAGAAACACUAACGAAUAAGGGGUGGGCAAGUUCUGGUGUCAGCCGCCGCGGUAAAACCAGCACCUCAAGUGGUCAGGAUGAUUAUUGGGCCUAAAGCAUCCGUAGCCGGCUCUGUAAGUUUUCGGUUAAAUCUGUACGCUUAACGUACAGGCUGCCGGGAAUACUGCAGAGCUAGGGAGUGGGAGAGGUAGACGGUACUCGGUAGGAAGUGGUAAAAUGCUUUGAUCCAUCGAUGACCACCUGUGGCGAAGGCGGUCUACCAGAACACGUCCGACGGUGAGGGAUGAAAGCUGGGGGAGCAAACCGGAUUAGAUACCCGGGUAGUCCCAGCUGUAAACUAUGCAAACUCAGUGAUGCAUUGGCUUGUGGCCAAUGCAGUGCUGCAGGGAAGCCGUUAAGUUUGCCGCCUGGGAAGUACGUACGCAAGUAUGAAACUUAAAGGAAUUGGCGGGGGAGCAC
rnacentral:rRNA from 1 species